rnacentral:rRNA from 1 species
AGCGAACGCUGGCGGCAGGCCUAACACAUGCAAGUCGAGCGCCCAGCAAUGGGAGCGGCAGACGGGUGAGUAACACGUGGGGAUCUACCCAAUGGUGCGGAAUAACCCAGGGAAACUUGGACUAAUACCGCAUGUGCCCUUCGGGGGAAAGAUUUAUCGCCAUUGGAUGAACCCGCGUCGGAUUAGCUAGUUGGUGAGGUAAAGGCUCACCAAGGCGACGAUCCGUAGCUGGUCUGAGAGGAUGAUCAGCCACACUGGGACUGAGACACGGCCCAGACUCCUACGGGAGGCAGCAGUGGGGAAUAUUGGACAAUGGGCGCAAGCCUGAUCCAGCCAUGCCGCGUGAGUGAUGAAGGCCUUAGGGUUGUAAAGCUCUUUCGCCGGUGAAGAUAAUGACGGUAACCGGAGAAGAAGCCCCGGCUAACUUCGUGCCAGCCGCCGCCGUAA